GUCUAUGGCCAUACCACCCUGAACACGCCUGAUCUCAUUUGAUCUUGAAAGCCAAGCAGAGUCAGGCCUGGUUAUUACUUGGAUGGAAGCCAGAUCUUCAGAAGAGACGGUUCAGAGACU
rnacentral:rRNA from 1 species